GCUGGAGACUUUCUUGCUGGACAUCCCUCCUUAGUGGAGGUCUUCCAAAGGCAUGCCCAUCUACCUGCCCGGCUGCUCUCAGUUCCUUUGUCUCACAACUGGGCCUUGCUGCACCAAUGCCACAUUGAACUGCCAUCACCCACCACAGGUAUAGAUGGAUGUUUUGGGAUGCAGAGCCUGGCAAAGAGGACGCCAUCAUCCUGUGGAUUCAGAGCAUAUGCGUGGCCUCGUCAUUUCUGCUGUGCUUCUCCAUCAGCCAGAAGAUUUUACCAGUGUUAAAAGCUGUUUGUGAGUCUUUGGAUAUCUCUUCCUUGCCCUCUGGGGGCUGUUCCCUUUUUGAAGCACAGGCAGAGACCUGUUUUGGAAGACAUGCACGUCCACAUAUCUUUGUAUAUUCAAGGCCACGUUUGUUUGUGUCGAUUUGCUGCCAUGGUCACAUGCUUAUUUCUUCAUUUCCAACUGCAUUUAAUGCACUUCUAUAAGAAUGAAUAUCUGGACCAUGAACCCUCCUUUAUCAAAGCAUAUAUUUGUAGGCUCUGAUAUCUCUGAGUACACAGAUACCUGAUUAUGUAACAUGUUUGCAUUUAGGCUAUUUGUGUAGCUGUUGAGCAGCAAGAGGUACUGAAGCACCUUAACAGAGUGUCAAAUUUGCUGAAGUCUGAGAACCAUUUACGGCUUCAGAUAGCUACGCUUUGCUUCUCACUUGUGCACAGAGCAGAUAAAUAAGUUAUUGUGGUGUUCUCCAUCACCAGUCAAACAGAAAUUAUUCUGCCAUUACACAGUUUUAGCAAUAAGAUAUACGCAUCAUUACUGGCUUACUAACACAAAUGAGAAGGAUAAAUGUGAACAACUAUGAGUCUGAUUCUCUCUCCUCUGCUUAUCCUCUAGUCUGUGCACUUAGCCUUAAGAAAAAUGGAUAUAAAAUUGUUCGUGCCCACUUUGCAUAAGAUACACAAUGGUGUGUGUGUAGCAGGGAAAAUGUAUGGAAGUAUGUCUGUCUUCACCCAUGUGAUUGACACAAAACAAAUACUGCCUUUGAAAAGCUUCAGUCACUUUUUUUUUUUUUUUUUGGCUUAAAAACAUUCCUUAAAUGCUAAAAGAGCUUGAAAUUUAUAAAUAGCUUUUGCUCUCUUCAGCAAGGAAAAGAUUUCUCUUAACUUUUGAUUAUGUUUGACCAUGGAGAAUCAACAAUGCAGGAAGAUUUUCAACAAAGGUAUUUUCUCUCAUGCCAUGCUCCUCACGGACUUUCCCUAUUCCUACUCACUCAACCUCAAAGGAAUAAUUAGUUGCUAAAAAAUGUGUUUCAUUUUGGCUGGGAGAAGACAGAGCAUGUUUUUAAUUAAGGAAGUGCUAUUAAAAUAAACUUUUCUAGGAAAAAUGUGCACAGGGUAAUAUAUAACAUAAUUAGAAAAAUACAUUUUUUUAAAAAAAUGUUUUACUGAAAAGUUGUCGGCCAACUCCAGUAUCAUCUGUAUCUUUCCUUGCAAGUGUUCUCUUUUUGUUCUCAUUUUCCUUUCGGGUAUACUCCUUUUUUGGCUCCUUCUUUUCCUCAAAGAAAGCAGUGCCUGAGCUCUUGUUCUAUUUUAAUUGUCUCCAAGUCUGCAUUCAGAGCAAGCACAGAUAUUUUUCUUGUGAUCAAUACGUGUCUGCCCGCAUGGAGUCUUGCCUCGAACGCUUUGCUGGUCACACCGUUUUUAUGCUUCAUCAUUCUAUUGCUACUCUCUCAUUCUACUGCAUCUUUUCCUACUGCACUGAACUUCCAAGGUUUUGCUGAGAUGGGAGACCUGUCUCACGUGUUUAUCAGCACCAGGUUUUUAGCCUGGCUUCUCUGUGCUGAUCUGCACUGUACUUUGUACUGAUGGCUUUCUUCCUGGCUUCAGCUUCAUGCCAAUUUGUUUUCUGAAUUGUUCAUCAAUAACAAGAGGCUGACAUUUAUAGAAAUGUUACAAUUCAUGCAAAUCUUGUGUUAGCACAAGAUUUGCUUGUGUUAGGGAAACCUUCAAAGCAUUCAGCAACCCUUGUGUUUCCUCCUGCAAAGCGCACUUGAACUGUAACUCUUUUAUCUUAUACUGUCUUGUUAACUUCAAAAUAUUUCUUCAGCCUCUGCAUCUGUGUUGGCCAGGUCUCUCCAUAAAACCCUAUCAAAUGGCAUUGGUUUUUCCAGUAUCUUCUGACAGCCUGUCAGCAUAGCUGACCAAGUCAUAUUAUUCUGACUAUGCAGUAAAUGCCGCUCAAGUAGAAAUGUCAGGCAGGCGGCAGGUCAUGUUUGACAAAACCAAAACAGGGAUGUUAGGGUUUCCUUCCACAAAAGAAGAAUGCCCUAGGUCCUUUUUACUGCAUGCAGUAUACUUGGGAGGCUUUGGUUUCUGAAGCAGCCACAUGCUGAUUGUGUAACUAAUACCAGGCUUUAUUUGUUUAUUAACAAUAGCCAUCAAGGAAUAAUAUUACCACUUCAGAGAAAGCAGUACAAAUAUGAAUAUUAGUUUUCAGCUAUUUGGACCUGUGAUAACUUGAAAUUAAUGAGCUCUUCGCUGUUAACACAUUUUGAAGACUGUCUACAAAUUCCUUAUUCUUUUGUACUCCUUCAUGCGGAGCUUCGUUUCAUUAUUGUCUUCCAUUGUCUUCUGCUGUACUACACAACUAUAUUGUUAUUUUAUUUUCUUCCAUUAAAAGCUGAAGAAACACACAGAAAAAAACUGUUUCUAAGAAGUUCUAGCCCACUCACAACUCAGCUGUAAAUAUACAGAGUAUGUUUACUUCAAAAGUAAGCAAGGAUUUCAGUCUCAAGUCAGGGAGGAGAUACGGUGAAGACUACAUCUAAAACAGGGAAACAGCUUCUGGAGCAAGGACUGGCACCAUGCCUACAUCAGGACAAUAUCCAUCAAUAAUGGAGCUGGCAACAACCUGGGUUAUCAUCUCUCACAAAUGCUCUCUGGACACCCAUUUGCAGGAGAUGUUGAUGCCGUGGCACAGUGCCCUACUGAAGGCAAUGGGGCUUCACAUUGGUGCUGAGGGAGAGAUUUGGGCACCUGGCUGCUUAUCGAAUGUGGGUAAAUACAUGUGAACACAAGAAACAAAGUUAUACUGAUGGGAAUUUUGCUGUUGGUUUGAACAUAAACUAUGAAAGAAGCAUUAAAAUAGAUGAAAUUGCACAUUUAAAGAAGUUAAUGCACUGACUGAGUAGGGCAAUAGGAAGCAUAUAGAACUGGCAUAUGUUCACAUUUUGUUUUUGUUUUAUAGCUAGGCAGAAGCAAGUCAUCUAUCAUUUGUUCUAAAGUGUGGUUAAAAGUGACUGUGAAAAUG
rnacentral:lncRNA from 1 species